UACGCUGGCGGCACGCCUAACACAUGCAAGUCGAACGCAGUAGCAAUACUGAGUGGCAAACGGGUGAGUAUAAUGUGGGAAUCUGCCUUUUGGUUUGGAAUAACACGGGGAAACUUGUGCUAAUACCGAAUAAGCCCUUACGGGGAAAGUUUUAAUGCCGAAAGAUGAGCCCGCACUUGAUUAGCUAGUUGGUAAGGUAAAAGCUUACCAAGGCAACGAUCAAUAGCUGUUCUUAGAGGAAGACCAGCCACAUUGGGACUGAGACACGGCCCAGACUCCUACGGGAGGCAGCAGUGGGGAAUCUUGCACAAUGGGGGAAACCCUGAUGCAGCGAUGCCGCGUGAGUGAAGAAGGCCUUUGGGUUGUAAAACUCUUUCGUCGGGGAAGAAAAUGACUGUACCCGAAUAAGAAGGUCCGGC
rnacentral:rRNA from 1 species